GACGAACGCUGGCGGCGUGCCUAAUACAUGCAAGUAGAACGAGUUGCGAACGGGUGAGUAACGCGUGGUAACCUGCCUCAUUGCGGGGGAUAACUAUUGGAAAAGAUAGCUAAUACCGCAUACUGUUAGAUGGACCUGCGUUGUAUUAGCUAGUUGGUGAGGUAAAGGCUCACCAAGGCGACGAGACAUACCCGACCUUAGAGGGGGAUCGGCCACACUGGAACUGAGACACGGUCCAGACUCCUACGGUAGGAAGCAGUGGGGAAUAUUGCACAAUGGGCGCAAGCCUGAUGCAGCCAUGCCGCGUGUGUGAAGAAGGCCGUCGGGUUGUAAAGUACUUUCAGCGGGGAGGCGUUACCCGCAGAAGAAGCACCGGCUAACUCCGUGCCAGCAGCCGCGGUAAUUC
rnacentral:rRNA from 1 species